GGCUCUUACUAUGUCCGCUCCAUCAAACUGCACCUCCGAACCAGUCCACGGCUAAUGUAGCUAUGGGAAAUUUGGAUGAAGUUCUUGAUAGUAAACUUUACUCACACUGUGCACAGCUGCUGGGAAGAGAAGAUGAAGAUUUGCUUUGUCGUUCUCAGCACCUUCCAGAGUCAGCUAGGACCUGCGGCCCCCAGAAAAUUUGCAGCAGCUGGUGCAAGAUCUCUGGCCCUACCUCCGCACAUCUGAACCCUGACCUCGCAGAACCACCGUGUGGGAGCAGGAGCAAGAAUUUGUUCUCUUUGCUGGAGGCAUUGCUGGAACUAAAGGUAUAGACAGUCACCUUUCUAUAAAGACCUUCAGUGUACAUAAAAGAAGAGCAAAGAAAUGCAGCAAAAGGUACCAGAAAUGGCAUAUUCCUUAACAGGCUUACUUGUUAAGUGAAAAAAGUUUGGCUUCAGUGUGAGUGAUAGAAUAUUAUGGACUAAGCCUCCUACGAGAAUGUUUUUUUUUUUGCUAGUAAAUUCUGAAAGACUGUCCUGGAGUUGUUGGAAGUAACAGAAGACUGUAAUAAUUAUGAAAUUCUCUUUUCUACGUGACCAAGAGUUUAGGGGAAAACGUAUCUUAGCCCUUGCUUUGAGAUUUGACUUUUUUUUUAGUUAGUGAAUUUUGGAAUGAGGGCAAAAUUUCUGAUAAUCAUGAAAAUUGUAGAUGAAACACUACUUAUAUAAGGUCUCCAGAAAGAACUUACAUGAAUGAGGAACCUACUGUGUCUCCUGGAAUCACCACUAUUAAAUAAAUUUAUACUGCUUAGAGGGGAGUUUUUAGUUUCUAAUACCUAUAUAUUGUUUUAGAGUCACGAAGCCUGUGUCUCUCAUAAAUCCCAAAUUAGCAGGGGCACUGCAGGGUUCAGAUCAGACUUUCAGAAGCUUAGACAAUCUCAAACUGCACUGAUGCCCUUUCUAGUCAUGUGAAUCCUGCUAGCUUUGCUUCUGGAUAAAAGUCAGAUAUCACUGCCUGUAGAAGCAAUGCAGAAAUACAUUACUAGUGUUUGUUUUUAAUUCUCCUUGUGACCUGGACAGCUUAUGAACAAAUUUAGAGGCAUAAUUAAAAUAACGCAUUGGAAACUGUCAUUAAAUUUCAACACAGAGAAAAGGAGCAGUGAUUAUUUUUAGAUUUAAAAUAAAGCAAGUUGGAAAUCAGGGUGAAAAAUAAAAUCCUCUCUAUUUA